GGAGAAGGACUGUGACUCAGUGAUACCAUGUUGGCUUCCCAUGCAGAAGGUCCCAGGUUCAAACCCUGGCAUCUCCA